rnacentral:rRNA from 1 species
UACAGAGGGUGCAAGCGUUGUUCGGAAUUAUUGGGCGUAAAGAGCUCGUAGGCGGUCUGUCGCGUCGGCUGUGAAAACCCGAGGCUCAACCUCGGGCCUGCAGUCGAUACGGGCAAACUAGAGUACUGCAGGGGAGACUGGAAUUCCUGGUGUAGCGGUGAAAUGCGCAGAUAUCAGGAGGAACACCCGUGGCGAAAGCGGCUCUCUGGAACGGUACUGACGCUGAGACGCGAAAGCGUGGGGAGCGAACAGG